CUUAGGACCGUUAUAGAAACGGCCGUCGUUUACUGGGGCUCCAGUUCAGAGCUUCGCUUACGCUAACCCCUCUCCUUAACCUUCCAGCACCGGGCAGGUGUCAGCCCCUAUACUUCGCCUUACGGCUUCGCAGAGACCUGUGUUUUUGGUAAACAGUCGCUUGGGCCUAUUCACUGCGGCUUUCCGUUAAGAAAGCACCCCUUCUCCCGAAGUUACGGGGUCAUUUUGGCGAGUUCCUUAACCAGAGUUCUCUCGCACACCUUAGGAUUCUCUCCUCGCCUACCUGUGUCGGGU
rnacentral:rRNA from 1 species